CUUUGCUCUGAGAUGCACUCCCUGCCCUAUCAAUGUUACUUAAUAACAAGUCUCUGUGUCCUGAUCUGUGCAGACACACAGAACACCACAGCACUUCUGCUUUAUUCUCGUCUCUCAUGGUUGUUUACUACUUGAUUUAUGCAUAACAUCAAUCCAACAGAAGUAUUCAAUAAGAUGUGUCCAUUUUGAAAAAGAGGAAUUACAAUUGUUUGGCAUUCAUGACACAAGAUGCUGAAAAUAUUCAACUAUUUCAACACCAUGACCUUUUCUCUUCUUAACCCUGUGUUAAAACAAUGAGUGACCAUGUGCUGACCAUUUAAUCAAUAACAGUCGGAGGUAAGGUGACACACACACACACACACACACACACACACACACCAAGAAUAAAGCACUUCAGUGAGAACGUGUAGCUCCAGCUCUGUGUGCGCCUGUUAUUUUUUAUUAUCUUGUGUAAUAAUCAGCAUGAGAUGAAACUGCAGAUGCAACAAAGCAAAACAACAAACGCUUUGUUUUUUCAGCUGUGAAACUCUGCUCCAGGAUCAUCUCAGGGAAUAGUUUUCUUUUCAUUUUAUUAAGAGUUCAAAACUGACUGAAAGGACAUUUGGAUGUGUUUGGAGCUGUGGGCGGAGCCUAAUGCAGAAAGCCUUUUAAACAGCGAAACGACUGAGCUGUGAGUUUUCCUCUUGAACACAGCAGAGAGCAGCGCUGUCCAUCUCACUGUUCUCUGGAGAAACGGCUGCAGAAAGAACUGUGCUUUAGUGAUUAGACUCAAGCUGUUCAAUGUUUGAUUUUUACUUCCUGUGUUUUUCCUGCCUUGAUGUCGUUCACCUGCACCUUAUGAGUUCCACCUGUGUAUAAAUCUCCCUGCCUCACCAGAGUCUUUGCCAGUCCCAGGUUAUUAGGUUCAGACUGUAGCUGUUUAUACCGCUGCAGUUGCUGAGAUGAGCUCAGAUGACCUUGGAGGCCUGAGAUCGUAUGACACCAGUAAAGGCUAUGUGCCUUAUGGUCAGAAAGGACGGCCACAGAGAGUCAUGGAGAGGUUUAAUGUUUCAACACACUGAAGGAACUGCAGCAUCGCAGCAGCGUGCAGAGGAGCCCGGCUGAAGUUUAAAUGUCAGGACUCGUAACUCUCACAUCCCACACGCCAGAACGUGGCGUGUGGGAUGUACAAGUCAACUUAAUGCCAUAAGUGCACCUAUAGUAGGUGUUUAUACAGAGCCUGAACUAGAAGUCGUCAUCCGGCUGAAAAUGAUGUCAUGUUUUACAUCAGAGGUUAUUCUACACGUGUACUGUAAGGGAUUUUACAUCUACUGGACUUCUGUAUGUCACAUGAGUCAAACUCCAGUCAAAAAAGAAAUAAAAAAAAAAAGAAAGCACAAGUCUGGAGGACAUUAAGCUCAAUACUUUGCAUCAUGUUUAAAGUUCCAACACGACAUGAUAAUGAAAACACUGAGGACAGAGUAACGGAAUUAUUGACAGGUGUUCGAGUGGUACCUUGAUAUUCAUGGUAAAUAAAUCAGUGGUGAGUUGAA